UGGAGUUUGAAAGCAGACUGGAUGCAAACAUUGAAAAAAAAUAUUCUGAAAAAUCUUGACCUGGUGGCACAGAAAGUUAUUAAUGAGUGCCAGAGAAGAGAAGUUGGGGUGGAUAUUCAUACAGAGCUGGCUGAAGCAAAAAAAAACAUGUUGAGUUGGCACACAAAGGUCUCUCAAUGGCUGCUGCUGUCCUGUUGCUUCCACUUUUAUUCAACGAGGAACCAAGCAUACCCAACCCUGUGCUAUGUAUAAAGGGACGUGCCUUUGAUACAGAGUGUCUAAUUGAACUAAUGAUGGAAGGGGAGAAGAUCUGCGAAGUAGAUGACAACACCAUGGCUCUAGUUGUGCUAAUGGCAAUACAUUUCACCUACCUACAUGUAGCAUUAUAUGGUUAGGUUUAGGAUUUGGUUUGCAUGUGAUUAUGCAUCA